AUGCACCAUAAUAAGGUUACUUUCAAGUUGAAAUAUUUUCCAGCUAAACAUCUAAACCAAUGCCGAUGGUAUGUGAAAAGAGAGCAUCUUAUCGAUGUUACUGAAGUGUUUAGAGUACUCAAUGCCGAGAAGAAAUUCCGGAUAGCAAAACUUGCUUUGUACUUAAUAGUCCUCAUUGUCACCAUCUUCAGGCUUACAUUGAUUGGUGUCUACUAUUUAGGCCUCGAACACGAUGAUGACUUGGCAUAUCUUUGGUAA